GACUUAAUGGGUGCGGAUUAAAAUGAUCAGGCCCGUUAAGUUAGGGUGUACUGUGUCUGUGUAGGUACACCGGGUCUUACCCGGCCCCGCCUCAAACCUAACGGGCCGCCCAAAUUGCACUCUUUCAAUCGCAGCCCGAUUACUUGUUACACCGUCAAUUAAUUAAAUAUCUACGGCCGCAAGAAAAGAAAAGCAAAGAAAGGAAAGGAUUUUGCUCCCUUCUUUUUUUUUUUUUUCCUUCCUUCUUCUUUCCCUCUUUCUUGCUGCCUACACAAAACUCCUCCCUGAUCCCAUAAGGGCAUAGGCAAGCGUACGGAGACGGUGUCCUGGUCAAGACGAAGCGGAGUAGAUUAACGAGGGAGGGAGAAGGGGGGCUAUGCCUACCGUUGAUACCACCGGAAUAGCAUCCUACAGCAAGAAGAAGAAGAAGAAGAAGAAGAAGAAAUCCCCUAAUCCCAACUCCAAAGCCAAUAAUACCGACGGUCAACGUGUUGAUGUCAUUGAUGACGAUGGUGAUCAUGAUUUCUUGGAGCAUCGGGGAUCCGUGAGCCAUACUGCGAGCAGCGGCAGCGACACUGAAGGCGACCCUGCUAAUAACAGGAGGAGCGGGAGGGAGGAUUAGUGGGCAUCGGAUUAAUCAAGCUGCUUCCUUCUCCACUCUCUUACUACGAUGCCCCUGAAGAUUUCUUUUCUGACGGUAGUUCUAUUUCAAACUCAUCUCCCUCCUUGAGAACCAACAUCGGCGAGGAACUGAAAGCAUUAAGGCUCAGUCUCCUUGAGGAGGUUGAGAGACGGACUAAGGCAGAGAAGGGUCUGCACUGCACACAUAUGCAGUGGCAUAGGUUGGCAGCAUGUCUUCCACAAGUGGGAUUGUCACUUCCUGAGGUACAGAAUUCUGGAGAUAUGCAAGUUGAGAUGGACCCAUCUGCAAUUUGUCAAGAGAUAUUAGUUACAAGGGCUGUUAACGAAGCUAUUGAAAGGGCUUUGGCAAGGGAAGAAACUGAAAUAAUUACUAAGGCUGUAAUCGACUCAGAAAAACUAUGAAAUCUCUCGCCUGCGUGACCGUCUGCAGUAUUAUGAAGCCAUGAAUCGCGAAAUGUCCCAAGGGAAUCAGGAAAUUGUAGAACCUACUCGCCGACGACGCUUAAGGAGAAAGAUGAAAUGGAGAUUGAUAUGGAGUGGUGUGGGGUUGUCAAUCACAGUGGGAGCUUCUCUGCUUGCAUACUCGUAUUUUCCAAGUUCUGUUAAGCAAGGCAUGCCUUCUUCCAGGAAUGAUAUAUCAGCCUCGUGCACAUCGAUUUCUUUGAAAAGUGAAGGUGGUUGUUAGUCAGGUGAUGGGAUCCUUUCAUUUACACCUUUAACUGUGACCCAGAAGCAAACAGCUGCUCUCCAGAGCUGCUUUCUUUCUUCUGAUUGAAGUUAUAUAUUUAUUUAUUGUUUAAAGGAAGCGAGAACCUGGUUUGAAGUCACGCUUCCUCGAAAAGAAAAGAUAUGAUGGGUUUCUAGUUGUGCACUAUUGUAUCGUGAUAGUUGUUGAUGAAAUGUUCUUAGCAGGCAGACAGUGCCAAGUUUUGGUGUUGGUUGUUGAGUACAAGAGAGAAUGUAUGUUUACCACAGCCUGUGUAGAAUUGUGGGUGCACGCAUUGCAUUACUGCCGGUGCUGCUAUAACUGAAUGAUUUUCAUACUCAGACUUGAACGUGCGGUAUAUAAACAAGUAACAGCACUGGAUUGAGAAUGAUAUCAGAUUAUGGGUUUUGGUGGAAUUA